AGAGUUUGAUCCUGGCUCAGAUUGAACGCUGGCGGCAUGCUUUACACAUGCAAGUCGGACGGCAGCACAGAGAAGCUUGCUUCUUGGGUGGCGAGUGGCGAACGGGUGAGUAAUAUAUCGGAACGUACCGAGUAAUGGGGGAUAACUAAUCGAAAGAUUAGCUAAUACCGCAUAUUCUCUGAGGAGGAAAGCAGGGGACCUUCGGGCCUUGCGUUAUUCGAGCGGCCGAUAUCUGAUUAGCUAGUUGGUGGGGUAAAGGCCUACCAAGGCGACGAUCAGUAGCGGGUCUGAGAGGAUGAUCCGCCACACUGGGACUGAGACACGGCCCAGACUCCUACGGGAGGCAGCAGUGGGGAAUUUUGGACAAUGGGCGCAAGCCUGAUCCAGCCAUGCCGCGUGUCUGAAGAAGGCCUUCGGGUUGUAAAGGACUUUUGUCAGGGAAGAAAAGGCUGUUGCUAAUAUCGACAGCUGAUGACGGUACCUGAAGAAUAAGCACCGACUAACUACGUGCCAGCAGCCGCGGUAAUACGUAGGGUGCGAGCGUUAAUCGGAAUUACUGGGCGUAAAGCGAGCGCAGACGGUUACUUAAGCAGGAUGUGAAAUCCCCGGGCUCAACCUGGGAACUGCGUUCUGAACUGGGUGACUAGAGUGUGUCAGAGGGAGGUAGAAUUCCACGUGUAGCAGUGAAAUGCGUAGAGAUGUGGAGGAAUACCGAUGGCGAAGGCAGCCUCCUGGGAUAACACUGACGUUCAUGCUCGAAAGCGUGGGUAGCAAACAGGAUUAGAUACCCUGGUAGUCCACGCCCUAA
rnacentral:rRNA from 1 species